rnacentral:rRNA from 1 species
GAGCCGAAGCUUAGGAUGCAUUUAUUGCAUGGUAGCAGAGCGUAGUGUGACAUAAUUCCAUGUCUCCUUAACCACUUCGGUGGGAUUGGAGACGCGGAGUUUUCUGUGAAGCGGGCCUGUGAGGGAUCCCGUGGAGAGAUCACUAGUGAGAAUGAUGACAUGAGUAGCGACAAAGAGUGUGAGAGACACUCUCGCCGAAAAUCCAAGGGUUCCUGCUUAAAGCUAAUCUGAGCAGGGUAAGCCGACCCCUAAGGCGAGGCCGAAAGGCGUAGUCGAUGGGAACCAGGUUAAUAUUCCUGGGCCAGAUGGAAGUGACGGAUCUCGAGGGUAGUUCAUCCUUAUCGGAUUGAAUGGGCUGCUUAGAGGUCCCUGGAAAUAGCUCCAUCGCUAGAUCGUACCCUAAACCGACACAGGUGGAUAGGUAGAGAAUACCAAGGCGCUUGAGAGAACUAUGUUGAAGGAACUCGGCAAAAUACCUCCGUAAGUUCGCGAGAAGGAGGCCCGGUCUGUACGCAAGUAUGGGCUGGGGGCACAAACCAGGGGGUGGCGACUGUUUAUUAAAAACACAGGGCUCUGCGAAGUCGUAAGACGACGUAUAGGGUCUGACGCCUGCCCGGUGCCUGAAGGUUAAAAGGAGGGGUGAGAGCUCUGAAUUGAAGCCCAGGUAAACGGCGGCCGUAACUAUAACGGUCCUAAGGUAGCGAAAUUCCUUGUCGGGUAAGUUCCGACCUGCACGAAUGGCGUAACGACUUCCCCGCUGUCUCCAACAUAGACUCAGCGAAAUUGAAUUACCGGUCAAGAUGCCGGUUACCCGCGGUUAGACGGAAAGACCCCGUGCACCUUUACUACAACUUCACACUGGCAUUAGGCCGAACAUGUGCAGGAUAGGUGGUGGGCUUUGAAGCGUGAACGCCAGUUUGCGUGGAGCCUCCCUUGAGAUACCACCCUUGUUCUGCUUGAUGUCUAACCGCGGUCCGUUAUCCGGAUCCGGGACCCUGUGUGGUGGGUAGUUUGACUGGGGCGGUCGCCUCCUAAAUCGUAACGGAGGCGCGCGAAGGUUGGCUCAGAGCGGUCGGAAAUCGCUCGUUGAGUGCAAUGGCAGAAGCCAGCCUGACUGCGAGACUGACAAGUCGAGCAGAGUCGAAAGACGGCCAUAGUGAUCCGGUGGUCCCAAGUGGGAGGGCCAUCGCUCAACGGAUAAAAGGUACGCCGGGGAUAACAGGCUGAUACUGCC